rnacentral:rRNA from 1 species
UCCUACGGGAGGCAGCAGUGGGGAAUAUUGGACAAUGGACCGCAAGUCUGAUCCAGCAAUUCUGUGUGCACGAUGACGUUUUUCGGAAUGUAAAGUGCUUUCAGUCGGGAAGAAGUCAGUGACGGUACCGACAGAAGAAGCGACGGCUAAAUACGUGCCAGCAGCCGCGGUAAUACGUAUGUCGCAAGCGUUAUCCGGAUUUAUUGGGCGUAAAGCGCGUCUAGGCGGCAAGGAAAGUCUGAUGUGAAAAUGCGGAGCUCAACUCCGUAUGGCGUUGGAAACUGCCUUGCUAGAGUACUGGAGAGGUAGGCGGAACUACAAGUGUAGAGGUGAAAUUCGUAGAUAUUUGUAGGAAUGCCGAUGGGGAAGCCAGCCUACUGGACAGAUACUGACGCUAAAGCGCGAAAGCGUGGGUAGCAAACAGGAUUAGAUACCCUGGUAGUCC